rnacentral:rRNA from 1 species
AUUGAACGCUGGCGGCAUGCCUUACACAUGCAAGUCGAACGGUAACAGGUCUUCGGAUGCUGACGAGUGGCGAACGGGUGAGUAAUACAUCGGAACGUGCCCGAUCGUGGGGGAUAACGAAGCGAAAGCUUUGCUAAUACCGCAUACGAUCUACGGAUGAAAGCAGGGAACGGAAAGCCUUUGGGGGACCGGGGCGGCCGAUGGCAGAUUAGGUAGUUGGUGGGAUAAAAGCUUACCAAGCCGACGAUCUGUAGCUGGUCUGAGAGGACGACCAGCCACACUGGGACUGAGACACGGCCCAGACUCCUACGGGAGGCAGCAGUGGGGAAUUUUGGACAAUGGGCGAAAGCCUGAUCCAGCCAUGCCGCGUGCAGGAUGAAGGCCUUCGGGUUGUAAACUGCUUUUGUACGGAACGAAAAGACUCUGGUUAAUACCUGGGGUCCAUGACGGUACCGUAAGAAUAAGCACCGGCUAACUACGUG